AAACGUUUGAAAGCAGUAUUGCGGCCAGGAUGUCAGCCUCGGUGUACUGUCCUGGUGGCGAGUCAACAUCAGUUCGGUUUGGAGCAAAAAGCCGUGUGAAGGUAGCCCUUUGGGUAUUAUAGCGCAUGGUCGUACUCUAGACGGGACUGAGGACAGCAGCGUUUUUGGCUUUGCACACUCGCGCUUGGGAUGUUGACGAAAUGGUUUUAAGCGA
rnacentral:rRNA from 1 species